GGAACAGUGACCGUUUUGGACACUGACACCGCCUUAAUUCUUUGAGGUUGCAGGGCCGUCGGGCACAGGUACUGCGGAUGGAACCAAGUAUAUUGUGUGUGCUGUGUAAGCACUCAACCACUGACUACAGUACCAGUCCUUAGCAUCACUGACUGACUUGGACCUGAGGCUGGCCUGUGUCCAUGGUCAAAUUAAUAGAAUUUAGGAGAGGCCAUUGUUAAAGAGGAGAAAUGACAAGACUGGGGAAGGCUUCCUGUAGGAGACAUGAGUUUUGAC